rnacentral:rRNA from 1 species
AAGCCGAUGGAAGUUUGAGGCAAUAACAGGUCUGUGAUGCCCUUAGAUGUCCCGGGCCGCACGCGCGUUACACUGACAGAGCCAACGAGUUCAUCCCCUUAGCCGAAAGGCUUGGGUAAUCUUGUUAAACUCUGUCGUGCUGGGGAUAGAGCAUUGCAAUUAUUGCUCUUCAACGAGGAAUGCCUAGUAAGCGCGUGUCAUCAGCACGCGUUGAUUACGUCCCUGCCCUUUGUACACACCGCCCGUCGCUACUACCGAUUGAAUGGCU